AUACGGAGGAUCCGAGCGUUAUCCGGAUUUAUUGGGUUUAAAGGGUGCGCAGGCGGAAUAUUAAGUCGGCGGUGAAAGUUUGCAGCUUAACUGUAAAAUUGCCGUUGAUACUGGUAUUCUUGAGUGUAUAUGAAGUAGGCGGAAUUUGUGGUGUAGCGGUGAAAUGCAUAGAUAUCACAAGGAACUCCGAUUGCGAAGGCAGCUUACUAAAAUACAACUGACGCUUAGGCACGAAGGCGUGGGUAUCAAACAGGAUUAGAUACCCUGGUAGUCCACGCAGUAAACGAUGAUUACUCGCUGUUUGCGAUACACAGUAAGCGGCUUAGCGAAAGCGUUAAGUAAUCCACCUGGGGAGUACGUUCGCAAGAAUGAA
rnacentral:rRNA from 1 species